UUUUCCACAAAGAUGAAAUAUAACCUUCAAAUUAAUCUAGUUUCCGAAAUUAUUGUUAUUUCUUUUAUUUGCGAUUAGUAUAAAAAGCUAUUCGUUUUGGUUUCUGUAUACUUUCUAGUUUCAAACGAGAAAAGUAAACUUUCAAUAUGAACUACUUGUUUGCUCUCUUGGUUGUAGUGGCUUUGGUAGUUUGCGCUUAUGCGCAAUAUUACCCUUACAACUACAACUAUCAUUACGGAGUUCCUGCUGUUUCCUAUGGUCAUGCUUACAACUAUGCUGCUUACAACCCUGUAUAUAACCCUGCUUACCCCUACUACUGGAAGAAAUAAGCUAAUAACAGGAGCAGUCUAGGCCACUUUCUAAGAAGAAUAUUGAUGAAUGAAAAAAAUACCUUAGAUUAAUUAAAAUGACAAAUCAAACUUAUUUCAAUUGGAAACAAAUUCUAUUGAUUAUUUUUAUCUGAAAAAUAAAAAUUGUCUCUACUUUCAA